rnacentral:tRNA from 1 species
GCGCGUGUAGUGUAAUGGAUAUCACGUAAGAUUCCGGUUCUUGAGAUCACGGUUCGACUCCGUGCAUGCGCA